UUUAAAUGUAUUUUAUGUAUUUCAGAACAUUUCUGAAAUAUAAAGAUGUUCAUGAGGAGUUUCUCUGAAAUUAGCCCUCCGGCUGCACAAGCGAGCCGCCCCAGGGACUUCUCCAGGCAAGAAUGACAACAGGGCUGUGUCCUCGACCCCUUGAUUCAGUACCUUAGACCAGCAUCAGGGAACCUCCCACAGGGGAGGCCAAUAAGCUGCCCUGCCCCAGAGAAGAGUUUUUAGCAGGAGAGAGAAGAAAGAAGCCACAAAGUGACAAGAGUGACCAGAACUGCGGGCCAGACAGAUUUCAGACUCUGAGGAAGAACCACAUCUUGUCCUUUGUGCUCUUCGCGGCACCUCUGAACAUCGAGGGACAUGGGACGACUUGGGAACUGGUGACUGUAUGUGGCCAUGGACACCACGCUGAGCGCAGACUGUGGUUCAAGGCGGUGGCGGGUGGCGAUGCGUUACCUGUGAGGUCGCAGCCUGCCUUCCCUGGGCUGGCCGUCAGCCCUUCUCUCCCAAGUCACGCGGGAGGAAGGUGAUUUCGUCCCGACUGCCACCCUGCCCCCCCUACGCCCCCACCCCCACUGGCAGCCAGAUGAGCCCGGAUGUCCGUAAGGUGGCAGAUGCUUAGUCCCGUUGCCUGGGUUCUACCUGAGAGGUACUGCUGGUCGCCACGCACUGCACUAACCCUGCAAGUGCCCUUGAAGAGGGAGGCAGGGAACAAGCAAGGCGUCAGGAUGUUGGAGAGGCAGCCGGUGUCCUGGUUAAGGAGGGCCGGCUUGGGGGCACCCUCAGCAGGAACCUGGAACUCUUUGAGAGCAAGGCCUAUGUCUGAAACAUCUCUAUUUUCAAGUGCCUCGCUCCAUGCCUGGCACGUAGUAGGUAUUUGCCUGGCACAGAGUAGGUGAGCAGCGCUCCUGUAGUGAGCAGCAACCCAGGAGUGCGAGGAAGUGACUGGGAGAACGGAUGUUAACAACUGGGCUGAAAGGUUCCCCCCCGGGCCGCCCCCCAGGGGUACACCAUCCUCUUGGUGUAUGUCGGAAUUCUGAGUCAAGCACAAAAUGCAGACACCCCUUGUCUUUUGUUAGCUGCAGACUCUCUCUCUCCCCUGCAAAAAAAGGGGACUACUUCUGUCUGUCCAUCCAGGGACUUUUAUAGCCUCGGCGCUCUGAUCUAAAUUUCUUUAAAAGCCAGUGAGUUAGAAAUGUUCAUGGUGGGGAUCAUAAGAGCUGGUCCUGGGGUUGGGCACUGCCCAGAAGAACUGCAUGUCCUCAGCAUCCGAGGCUGCCUCUGAUCAGCUGUGCUUGAGCCUGGUGAAGAUGUGAGCAGAUCGUCGAGCGUUGAGGAGAGAAAGAAAGGGAGGGCCCGGACCAGCCGCCUCGCUGUCUGCUUACCAAAGGCUCACCGCUCCCGAGGUCGUCCCUGGGCAGGAGGCCAGCUGGUCACUGGGUUUGGGGGCUCCUGUCUUGGAAGCUUCUAGCUGGCACGUCCUGGGUCUCCAGCGGACCCUCUCAGAUACUCUUCCCACGACAACCCCGAGACCAAACGAAUCAGACAUGAUUAAAGAGGCAGAGGAGGCUGAGAUGGCUCAUCCAGGGAAGGCUCCUGGGAGAGCAAGGACUGGACGGCUGGGGGCCUCUCAGCGCGGCACUGCUGGGGAGCUGGCACCGGCGGUUCCAGACAAACUGUCCCAAAGGCUUCUGGGAAAUGGCUCCAGCAACUAGAAGGAAAGCUGUAAAGCACUUUAUGGUGUGCGAAGUGACCCCCCACCCCCGCUCCCCACCCUGGAGGACCCCGAGGAAAGCACCACGAAGCUCUUCUGACGGGCGCUGGCGAGCUGGCCAUCCUUGCAGGGGCUCAGCCCCACUCCCAGGGGGCGUGAGACUGAGGACGACGGCACUGACCACCGAGCGUUCUGUGCUUCACACACAGCAUCUCAUUUAAUCCCCCCAUCGAGCCUUGAAACGGGCCGUUUCUAUCCUCACAUUACAAAUGAAGAAACUAAGACAUGGAGAGGCCAAAUAACUUGCCCAAGGUCAUGCAACUAAGAAGUAGGGGAAUAGGAUUCAAAGCCAGGUCUGCCUGUCAGCCGGGCUUUUGAAAGUUCUCGUUCUCCCACUGCGGGAUUUUUGCAUUCCCUUUGCUGGGAUAACCAGCCCAUCUCCUGUCCCCCGUUACAUGGUUUUCUUGAAACAGUCCUGCUUCUCUAGUCUCUCCUGUGGCCCAUUAAAGCCACAAACUGGUUUCUAGGAGAACACGUCGAGUCGGUGCUGAGUGCUUCCCACCCCAUUAAAGCCGUGUUCACGACAAAUGCCCAGCUUCCUACUAGCAGUCACUGGACUUUCUGCUUCGGGAACCUGGGGAGAUCUGUGCUUAGGCUCUCAGUUCUGAAGAUAGGGUAAUAACAGGUGGAGCAAAGCAAGGACAUCUUAUUUCUGUUCCACCCUGACUGGACCUCAAACAGAGUUACCUGAAGAGCUGGAUUUGGCUGGCCUGGUUCAACUGUGGCCUUAGGUCAAGGGUUCUGUCUGCCAGCCAGACUCCCCUCCCGUCCUCCAUGGGGCAUCCACUGAAAGGGGGUGAAGUAUCCAAACUGGCUUUUUCACUCCUGGGUCUGGCGCCCCGGCGCUCUCCUAAGUGGCGUCUCGGUGGAGCGGCCUCAUCUUACAGUGUUGCCCUGGGCUCCCAGAACGCACUGUCCGUUCCCUUCUCCACUCCUUUCUGCCCCCCACCCCGCAGCCCCUUCUGUGGGGAAGGGUCUCAUUCAGCCCCCGCCACCAGGUGGCUGUGCUGUAUCUCGUGACCCUGCUCUGCCCCCCUCCACACACACAUACAGGUCACUGGACCAGGAUCUAUAUAGGCUGGCCAACAACUUUUGAAGUCCCCUGGCUCAGAAAUAUAAAGAAAGCCAGUGAGACCAGUCAGAUUCCCCUUUUAGGAAACGUGAACCCCCACAUCAGACCAUACGGGCAGUGUGUGACAAGAGGUGGCGAGAACAGGAAGGAGCCUGGAGGGACUGAUGUGUUGGCCAAAAUUACAGCGAGGAAGAAAGCUGGAGAUUUAAAAAAAGCAAAACAAGCUGUGACACAGAAAAAAUGCACUUCUAGCUGGGGAACCAUGAGCGUCUUUUGGUGAAAAGAUAAAGGAAGGAAUGACCAGAAGGGAGCUGGGACUCUGUGAAAGGCAGAGAGACAGGCUGGCCCUGGAGCCACCCUGGGGCCCACUAGACCUGCUCUGCCCCAGUGGGUGUCACUGCAGUGAGCUCAUUACUUACUCCCUUUGCUGACUGUUGGCUUAGACGUGAGUGGGCACGUGACUUAGUUCUGCCAACAAAACUUACAGAGAAAUGGCCAGGGAACAUUCUGGGAAGAAGUUUGCUUUCUGAUCAAAAGAGGCAGAGAGACUGAAGAGGCCCAUCCCUUUGUCCUGCUUUGAACAUGGAUGUUUGAGAUGUGAUAGCUGGAGCUGGAGCAGCCAUCUUGAGACCAUGAGGCAAAAAGACCAAGCAAAAAAGCCAAUACACCAAGAUGGGCCAAGCAACAGAUUAAAAAAAAGCCUGGGUCCUUGAUGAUAGCGUUGAGCCAUUAUACCUAUCCUGGAAUCAUGUACUUCCAGUCUUAAUGAUCUAUCAAUUAAAUGUCUUUUAUUUUCUAAGCAGAUUUCUGCUAUUCGCAGUCUGAGGCCUUCUUCACCAGUGCAGCGCUCCUCUGAACCUCUCCGUCAGCAAUUCCCUAGAGCCCCACGGCUCUUGGUGUAGCUCCACAUGGAAAAUCAGCCCAAGUUUAUACACUGGAAAUCUGACUCAUACAGUAAGAAGUAAAAGUCAAGAUUUGUCACAGCCCACAGAGGCGAGCAACUCUAGCACUUAGUUCCAGUUCCUGGGGCCUAAAGGGCACCAAUGAAAGAAAGAUUCGGGAAUGUUCUAGACAUAUGAGCCUGAGUCUUCUAAAAUGGGGCACAAUGAUGAAUUUUAGAACAAAGCAGUGCGAUGGGGUGGGAGCCCCAUCCCUGGGAGGCGGAGCCUAAGCUCAGGCCAGAAGGCCAUGGAACGCAUCGGGUGGGGGAAGCAUUAAGUUGGAAUGAGCAAAUGGUGGGUGGGGUGGAUGAACCCUGGAGAAGGCCAGUGUCACAGAGCAGGAUGUUAGGGAGCCCCAGGUGCCAGCUGGAAGAAAUGUAGGGCAGCAAAACUACGUGGGUGGAAACCUAGGCCUUUCCGUUGCUCUCCAGCCAGCCUCAGGGACAUUUGAUAUCCUCUGAGGAGGGAGACGCCCUCAACAGCAGCUACUCCCCACGUUCCUCACUCUGUCCGGUCUCCACCUGCCCCUUUUUGCUCUACCUUUGCUUUCUGUCUCCUCUGACCAAAGCCGGGAGCCAGAAACACCCAGGACCUGAGUCCCUCUCCCUCAACUGGAAAGGAGAUGUCGUGGCAAACAAGGGUGUCUUUUAGGAGACUCCAAAUCCUAGGCCGGGGAGAAGGCCUUCAGCUGCGGGCAGAGAAUGCCGGCGGUUGACAAGGACCAGGUUACGCCUUCUUCGGAUCCAACCUGUAUCAAGCAGUGUGUGGUUCGUGUUGUUUGAACACCAGAAAAUGUGCCUGACCCUUCCCUUAUGAAACGAGAGGCUGAACUCAGAACUCUAGCCCUUCCUCUCUAAAUUUCUAGUUUUAGAGAGAAGACAAAGAGAACCUGGCAUCAUCCUAAUGUACCCUUCAGAUGACAUAUUAUUCCACUACAUACAGAACUUGAGAAAAAUCAAAAGCCCGUUUCCCAUCUCGAAAGAGUCUUCAGCAGUAAAGACGCAUGGCCCGCAGGAGUUCACCCAGUAAAUGGGGCCCCCGAACAGAGAUGUGUUGCAAUCACAGCAGAAUUUGCACCCUCCAGCUGCUGGGGGUAAGCCAUACACCGUCCUUAUGGAGUCCUGCCCCCGGGCCCAAACCAGGCCGCCUGCUCUGUUAUUAUUACUUCAUUCAUUCAGCAGACAUGGACUGAAUACCCCCUGGAAGAAGAAUUUAAGCUUAUAAAAGCAAGGUUAAUAUAAGGAAGCUAAAAUAUUAGAGAUUUAAAAAAAAAAAUCCUCUGAGAUGAUCGGAGAAAAGAAUGAAAGCUUUGGUUGCAGUGGAAGAAGCAAAACAUUGAAACCCCUACUUAAUGCAAUUAAUGCUUCAAUGUGAUACUUAAUCAACCGCUGAACUCUCCCCACCCCCUAAAGUUUCCCCAUAUGUCACUAAGGAUGCUCUGAAACCCAUCAGGGAAGAGAACUGAAGGCUUUUCCUCCUUCUCCCUAAUGAAGGUUUUUCUCCAGAAUGAAUGAGCCUGAUUACUGACUAAAGGCCCUCCUGCGGUCUUUACGCCCAGGGUGCUGCUUUCCUGAGAGUUCUCCAAAGACGAGAGAAAGGGCUCCGCUCUCCCCAGAUGGCACCACGCGGCUCUGACGCACUGGCUUCUCUCUCGCACGAAUGAUCUGACGUUCAGUGUGCUUCACGCUGCCCCCCUGACAGCUUUCCACAUUCAUCACAGAUGCCUGCUUCGAGUCCCAAGGAACGUGCUGACAGUCUAAGGCUGGAACUCUGGCUCCAGGCUCUUCCCCACCCAUUCUGCUCGCGGGGCUCCUGGCCGCUCUGAAAUCCCAGAUGUCUAAUUAGCUCUGAGCACAGUCUAAAAGCAUUCGCACAUCCGUUCUGUGCAUAUGGUUUUUCUCCAGUGUGAAUUCUCUGACGUUGAAUGAGCUUUCCUUUCCCGCAGGCGCCCACAUUGACGGCAUUUGUAGCACUUCUGAAUGUGAAUUAGCCGAUGCCAUGUGAGGCGUCGGAAAGCUGACGGAUGCCUCCCGCAAACAAGGACUCUUUCCAAAACGAAUGUUAGAAUGUUCUGGAGGACAGGAGCCCUGAGAAAAGUCGCCUCCAUUCAUAACAAAGAUGUUCCCUCUAAGAUGCAUAUUGUAAUGUUGAAUAAAUUCUGAAUUCUAA